rnacentral:rRNA from 1 species
GGAAUAACUGCGGGAAACUGUAGCUAAUACCGUAUACUCCAGUAAUGGGAAAGAUUUAUCGCUAUAAGAUUGGCCCGCGCAAGAUUAGCUUGUUGGUGAGGUAAAAGCUCACCAAGGCUUCGAUCUUUAGCUGGUUUGAGAGGACGAUCAGCCACACUGGGACUGAGACACGGCCCAGACUCCUACGGGAGGCAGCAGUAGGGAAUAUUGGACAAUGGGGGCAACCCUGAUCCAGCAAUGCAGCGUGAGUGACGAAGGCCUUAGGGUUGUAAAACUCUUUCAUCGGUGAGGAUAAUGACAGUAGCCGAAGAAGAAGGACCGGCUAAUUCCGUGCCAGCAGCCGCGGUAAUACGGAAGGUCCUAGCGUUGUUCGGAAUUACUGGGCGUAAAGCGCAUGUAGGCGGAACAAAAAGUUAGAAGUGAAAUCCCUGGGCUCAACCUAGGAAUUGCUUUUAAAACUUUUGUUCUGGAAUUCAGGAGAGGAAAAUGGAAUUUCCAGUGUAGAGGUGAAAUUCGUAGAUAUUGGAAGGAACACCAGUGGCGAAGGCGAUUUUCUGGACUGAUAUUGACGCUGAGAUGCGAAGGCAUGGGUAGCAAACGGGAUUAGAUACCCCGGUAGUCCAUGCAGUAAACGAUGGGUGCUAGUCGUCGGACUUUUGUUCGGUGUCGUAGCUAACGCGUUAAGCACCCCGCCUGGGGAGUACGGUCGCAAGAUUAAAACUCAAAUAAAUUGACGGGGACCCGCACAAGCAGUGGAGCAUGUGGUUUAAUUCGACGCAACGCGAAGAACCUUACCAGCGUUUGACAUGGGAAGUGCCGGUUACAGAAUGGUAACCUUCAGUUCGGCUGGCUUCCGCACAGGUGCUGCAUGGCUGUCGUCAGCUCGUGUCGUG